UGCAGUCGAACGAUUAAGACUCUCUUCGGAGAGUGUAUAAAGUGGCGCACGGGUGAGUAACACGUAAGUAAUCUACCUUUGAGUGGGGAAUAACAGUCGGAAACGACUGCUAAUACCGCAUAAUGCAGCGGCACCGCAAGGUGACAGUUGUUAAAGGAGCAAUUCGCUUGAAGAGGAGCUUGCGGCAGAUUAGCUUGUUGGUAAGGUAACGGCUUACCAAGGCUACGAUCUGUAACCGGUCUAAGAGGACGGUCGGUCACACUGACACUGAAUAACGGGUCAGACUCCUACGGGAGGCAGCAGUCGGGAAUUUUGGGCAAUGGGCGAAAGCCUGACCCAGCAACGCCGCGUGAAGGAUGAAGUAUUUCGGUAUGUAAACUUCGAAAGAAUAGGAAGAAUCAAUGACGGUACUAUUUAUAAGGUCCGGCUAACUACGUGCCAGCAGCCGCGGUAAUACGUAGGGUGCGAGCGUUAAUCGGAAUUACUGGGCGUAAAGCGUGCGCAGGCGGUUUUAUAAGCCAGAUGUGAAAGCCCCGGGCUCAACCUGGGAAUGGCAUUUGGGACUGUAAGGCUGGAGUAUGGCAGAGGAGACUAGAAUUCCUGGUGUAGCAGUGAAAUGCGUAGAUAUCAGGAGGAAUACCGAUGGCGAAGGCAGGUCUCUGGGUCAAUACUGACGCUCAUGCACGAAAGCGUGGGGAGCAAACAGGAUUAGAUACCCUGGUAGUCCACGCCCUAAACGAUGUCAACUGGUUGUUGGGGGAUUUAUUCUCUUAGUAACGAAGCUAACGCGUGAAGUUGACCGCCUGGGGAGUACGGUCGCAAGAUUAAAACUCAAAGGAAUUGACGGGGGCCCGCACAAGCGGUGGAUGAUGUGGAUUAAUUCGAUGCAACGCGAAAAAC
rnacentral:rRNA from 1 species